rnacentral:rRNA from 1 species
AGUCAACAUAACCAAAGGACGUGGAUAAACUCGGGAAACUGAGGCUAAACCGCGAUAGAUCAAGAUACCUGGAAUGGUUUUUGAUCAAAAUCUAUAUGGCCUUUGGAUUGGACUGCGUCCGAUCAGGCUGUUGGUGAGGUAAUGGCCCACCAAACCUAUAACCGGUACGGGCUCUGAGAGGAGGAGCCCGGAGAUGGGUACUGAGAUAAGGACCCAGGCCCUAUGGGGCGCAGCAGGCGCGAAACCUCUGCAAUAGGCGAAAGCUUGACAGGGUUACUCUGAGUGACUUUCGUUAAGAAAGUCUUUUGACACCUCUAAAAAUGGUGUAGAAUAAGGGGUGGGCAAGUCUGGUGUCAGCCGCCGCGGUAAUACCAGCACCCCGAGUGGUCGGGACGAUUAUUGGGCCUAAAGCAUCCGUAGCCGGCCUUACAAGUCCUCCGUUAAAUCCAGCUGCUUAACAGAUGGGCUGCGGAGGAUACUAUAAGACUAGGAGGCAGGAGAGGCAAGCGGUACUCAGUGGGUAGGGGUAAAAUCCGUUGAUCCAUUGAAGACCACCAGUGGCGAAGGCGGCUUGCCAGAAUGCGCUCGACGGUGAGGGAUGAAAGCUGGGGGAGCAAACCGGAUUAGAUACCCGGGUAGUCCCAGCCGUAAACGAUGCAGACUCGGUGAUGGACUAGCUUUAUGCUGGUCCAGUGCCGCAGGGAAGCCGUUAAGUCUGCCGCCUGGGUAGUACGGUCGCAAGACUGAAACUUAA